GACACGGUCCAAACUCCUACGGGAGGCAGCAGUGAGGAAUAUUGGUCAAUGGUCGGCAGACUGAACCAGCCAAGUCGCGUGAGGGAAGACGGCCCUACGGGUUGUAAACCUCUUUUGUCGGAGAGUAAAGUACGCUACGUGUAGCGUAUUGCAAGUAUCCGAAGAAAAAGCAUCGGCUAACUCCGUGCCAGCAGCCGCGGUAAUACGGAGGAUGCAAGCGUUAUCCGGAUUUAUUGGGUUUAAAGGGUGCGUAGGCGGCACGCCAAGUCAGCGGUGAAAUUUCCGGGCUCAACCCGGACUGUGCCGUUGAAACUGGCGAGCUAGAGUGCACAAGAGGCAGGCGGAAUGCGUGGUGUAGCGGUGAAAUGCAUAGAUAUCACGCAGAACCCCGAUUGCGAAGGCAGCCUGCUAGGGUGCGACAGACGCUGAGGCACGAAAGCGUGGGUAUCGAACAGGAUUAGAUACCCUGGUAGUCCACGCAGUAAACGAUGAAUACUAACUGUUUGCGAUACAAUGUAAGCGGUACAGCGAAAGCGUUAAGUAUUCCACCUGGGGAGUACGCCGGCAACGGUGAAACUCAAAGGAAUUGACGGGGGCCCGCACAAGCGGAGGAACAUGUGGUUUAAUUCGAUGAUACGCGAGGAACCUUACCCGGGCUUGAAUUGCAACUGAAUGAUGUGGAGACAUGUCAGCCGCAAGGCAGUUGUGAAGGUGCUGCAUGGUUGUCGUCAGCUCGUGCCGUGAGGUGUCGGCUUAAGU
rnacentral:rRNA from 1 species